UGAGUCAAAGGUCCUUCAGUUUUGAGCCAGUCACUACUUUACCUCUGACCACACAGUAAGCAACAGCAGUGUUGCUGCACCUUCUGCUACAACUACUAGGGCUCAUGUGGUGCUUGUGGGCAUGAGAUCUCUAGCAAGCAUCACAAGACCAGCUUCAGAACCACAGAGGAGAGAACCGUGGCACAGCAAGAGGCACACUGUGACAGCAGCAAGUGUCUAAAGAGGGAGAUUGCUCUGCCUGGACAAGAGGCUGCGGAACCCUCUCUGGUAGGUGAGGCUGAGGUGAGGAGACCAGACUGAUCUGCUCUUGCAGAGCUUGUCCUUGGGGCCCUCAGCAGUGUGAGUGCUGCAGCCAUGCUGCUCACCUGCAGAGCCCCGGGGUGGACAUCCCAGGGGAGGGUGCCAGCGCCAGACUCCAUGCUGGCGGAAGGGAAUUUAGGUCACAGAUCCUCUUUGGGAACAAGCAUGUCUGAUGCUGCCAAGGGAAACAAACUGGGAUGAAAGAAACAGGAGAAAGGGAACAAACCAGCUUGAAAGAAACAGGACAACAAGGAGAAAUGACUCAAUGAUCAAAACAAGGCUACUACGGGAAAGAGAUCCACAGUCUUGGGGAAAAGAACUAGGUUUGACACAAACUUGCUCCCCAUCCAAUCUCAGCACUCUGACAUCUGGUAAUGCCAUCUUUUGAAGUCUAAAGCUGUGUUUAUAGAAAACUGCAGGGAAGAACAGUGCAAAAGAUGAUGAGAAAUGCCUGAGGAUGAAAGGAAGUUUAAGAACUGUGUUCAAAAAUCAGGCAGUCUCUCAUGGAAUAAAAUUCAACACCUUUUCAUAAACCACAAAAAUAAGAGAAACAAACAGGAGGCAGCCAGUGCUGGGGAGAAGUGUUACAUAAGCAUAAUAUGAAAAAGAAAUGAACACACACAGUCAUAGAAACCAAAAGAUUUAGCAGAUUAUCAGCUAGAGAUGGAAAUAUUGAUAAAAGCUGGUUGUGUAACUACAAAGUAAUGAAAGCCAUAUGGAUCUUUCUCCAAAAAUGCCCCCUAUUGUCUGUCCUCUCCCUCCCAUUUCCAUCUUCUCCAGUAAAUAGCUUGUGCAAAGUAGCAGUUUUCAAAGCAAUUGUGUCCCGGAUAUUUGUUGGAAAACAUGACUCACCCCACGUGUUCUGUUUUCAUUCAGGAUGUUGUGAACUGAAAACAAAAAGAAACCAGAAUGGACGCGUACAGUAUGCUUUAAGGAUGAGCAUGUAAAACUAAAAUUCGUAGAUCUACAGGACUAUCAGAAGCAGGGAUUCAGCAGAGAUCCUGCUCACUGUGAUCUUUCUGCUACUCACCUAUUUCCCAUCCACAAGAUACAAAACAUCUGUUUUUCAGUCCCCCAGGAGCCACUCAUUAGGUCUCUGACAUCCUACUGCCCACCUUGCUCCACAAGCACUGAGGCAGUCUAUCUGGUACCUAUCCCAUUAAGCACAGAACAAUUGGUUUGAACUUGUACUUAGCUUGAAAGCUUUUUGGUUCUUUUUC